CCGGCUUCGCUUUAUAGGCAAUCUGAGAGUCUGAGUUCGUGCUGCCUCCUUGGUUAAGUAACUCAGAGAUUCGAGAAUAUGCCGCCUAGAUGACGCCGGUACCGGACAGCACGGGCCAGCGGAACUUCGCUGGGUCCCAGCCCGGAGCAGCUUCGCUCAGCCCCGAGUCUGCAGGUGGCGGCCGCCCUGACUAACUCGGCCAGGGAUGGUGCCGAGGCCCCGGGCGGAGCUUGCAGACUGCCCUGCGAUCAUCUGAGGUCAGAGGCAGCCCCUGCCCAGGUCUUUUCAGCCUCACCAGGCUGAUGCGGACUGGGCAGCCUGGUUGUGGGAGGUCCCGGCCUGUCACUCAGUGCCACGGAGGCUCAAGAAGUUUUCUCUACAGCAAGACUCACGUGUUGAGAGGCGUGCAGAUGCGCUUCGGGAGAGAUGGGAGAGUGAGCGGAUGAGCCCAGGGCGCCGGUGGCAUGGUUGCUGGCUGCUUGACUCCUUUUCUCCCCACAAGUGUGGGCCUUCCCUGGAGCCCCUCGUCAGGCUGCGGACACAGGGUCAGGAAAGCUGUUCUCAGCCAGGAUGGACACCGCCUGCUUUUCAGCUCAGACAGGCUAAGCAGAGGCAGCCGGCCCCAGACUUUACCGUUAUCAUCAGCAGAUUUGACCAGGAGAGUCUCCCCAGUCAUCUUCAGAGUCACGGCACUGUUAUAGACUGACCUAUAAGGAGCCAGCUGCCCUGUGAUGAACCCCAGAGGCAACAUAUGAGAUCUGAAGACAUCACUUGACGCCUGCACUACACACAGACAUGGUACCCAGAGCAGAGCUGCAGGUGUUUAUUGAACCAGCUUAACAGACUGAGCAAGGAGGGGACAGGUUUCGAGAUUCCAGCUUCAGGAUGGAAAGUGAACAGGGCAGCCAGAUCCACACCAAGGACUCUCCUGUGCCCCUGCCCUGCUGUGGUGAGAACGUGGUGGUCACCCAUCGUUGGAGAGUGCUUUGCAGGACCUUGCAUAGACAGACUGGAUGUGGACCAGCAUGCUGCAUGGACACGUGCUAGGGUGGGCAGGGAUUCGGUGCUCUGGUGUCCAUUCCCUGACACAUGUUACUGGCUGCCUGCACCAUUUGAACAGAGAGUUCUACCAUAUGCUGCAGGGAGAUCAGGGUGGGGAGGACGUUACCAUGAAUUUGGUUUUCAGGAUUUUGCCUUCCACUCCUUCAUCAUUCAAGCAUUCCAUGAUUUUUUCGAAACCCAGCCUUUCCCCAUCAGUAGGCUCAAACUUGUCAAGGACGGCAUUCAAUAUUUUCUUGUUUCCGAUGGAGAUUCCAGCAAAGGCUUCAAAGAAAGGAAUGCAUGCUUCCACUGCAAACACAGACAGAAGAACAUCAUUAACAGAGUCCCAGGCUGGCGGUAGUGGAGCAUCAGGGUUUCUUUGAUCUUCUACAAAUUUCCUACCUGACCUUCCACACAGUCCAGCCCUCCCAAAGGCUACCGCCUCCCAGAUACUACAGCACACAGUUUUCAUAGACACACACACAGCAGAAGAGGCAUGUAUGAGUGUACCUGCCUGCACAUCUGACCUUCACAUAAAUCCCACAUAUGAUUCAGCUUCAGCUGGAUAUGGAACUAAGGGUGCAUAAUCAACACCUCACCCCUGUCUCCCUAUCCAGCCCAUCCCAACUGUCACAAUCCUGAAGAGAAUAUUUCAAGGGUCUUCUGGAGGACUCCUGGCUAGUGACCUCCCAGGGACCCCUAGAUCUGCAAACAGAUCCAUAAGGAAGGAGAUGGAAUGAGCAAGGGUCAGAAAGGCCAUCGGUUCCCGUUCUCACUUGUCUGGAAGCCCAGCUCCCCGGUCACCAGCAAGGCCAGCAGAAGCAGCGUCCCCUUCAUGGUGUAGAGUGAGUGCUAAAUGCUCUUCUCAGAGCAGAUCAUGCUACCUUCUAAACUGUUGUCUUCCUGAGCCCAGUCCUGCCCACCCCCAUCCCACCUCACGCCCGACCCUGCCUCCGAGCAGUUCCAAAUACCUUUGGGCAAGAACCUGGCACCUAUGGAUCCGCUUCCCACUUGCAUGGGGGAGUGAGCUUAGGAGCUCCUCCCACUCAGAAGAACCAAUGGCUAGAGACAUCCUGUGUGAUCACUUUAUGUACAGAAGUGGCUGUACCUUUGGCAGAAGAUGGUUAGAGCUGACCUUUGUAGUCAGUCACAUGCUGAGCCAAAUGCUCUGUUGUCCUGGUUCAAUCUCACCUCUGCUUCCUCUUCUGGCUCCAAGCAUGUCCUGCUCAAGCUUGGAGGUGGAAACCACGGGGGUCAAGGAUGGUUUCUGUCACUGUAGGCAGCCAACUUCCCAGAACACUGCAUCUGCCUGAGUUCAAGAUCAGAGCAGAAGUGUGUGUAUCUGAGGGGCCUGGGGACACUUGACAUCUUAGCUGCUGCAACCUUUGGACUAGACCUCUGAGGGCAUGAGGGAACCAUCUGUGGCUUUUUGUGACUGCCAGCCAGGAUAGUCCCAGUGUGUUUGGUCAUGUUGGAUCCUCAGGGGCCGGUGAUGAUUUUGUUCUACCAGCUGCAUUUGCUGCAAAUUCCCCUCCCUGCCACGGACGCUCAUUCCUGUCUUCCUACUCUUGUCUGUCUCACGCCCACCAGUAAGCAGGCCUCAAAGAGGUCUAAACAGUAGAGUCAUUGCGGUUACAGCAGCUCACAGUAGAGGGAGGAAUUCAACUAUGUAUCAUGAUUUCUCUGUUGUCCACAGCCCCACAGGCCACUGUGGACUGGCCCAGGCAGUGCUGUGUGUGUGGACUCUCUCAAGUUCAACUCAACCUACUACCCUCAGAAUGACGUUUGCGGCACAAAUACAUUGUCAACUGGGUUCGUGUUAAUCAUUCUUGAAGACAGGAGGCUUACUGUGUGUGAUGGCUAAUCUGAUGCUCAUCCUGACUGUGUUACAAUCACCAUGGAAACAAAGCUGUCUGUGUGAGACUGUUUAUGCUAAGAUAAGUGAUGUCUGACUUUAUGUGUCCAGCGUGGACUAGUGUCAUGGAUGGAGUGGAAAGGAGAAAUCAAGCUGGGCCUUCAUUUCUCUCUACUUCCUGACUGUAGAUGUGAUCAAUCACUUCGAGUUUCUGCUCCAAGCCUACCCCACCAUGCCUGCCCCACCUUCAUGGACUGUAUCCCUCAAACUGUAAGCAGAAAGCUGCUUCUUAUCUGGGUUUUGUCACAAAUUCACUAACACAGUAGUAGAGCGUUUCUUAGCAUGUGCAAAGCGCUGAGGUUAAUCCACUGCUCCACACACAAAAAUGGAGUGACUAAGGAGAUGGCUCAGUGGACAAGUGCUCAUUAUGCAAGCCUAAGGAUGUGAGUUCAGAUCCCCAGGACGCUGUAAAGAGCUGAGUGUGGUGGCUCCACCAAUGCCACGGGAGCUCCAGGUUCAAUAACAGACCUCGUCUCAAACAGUAGGGUGGGAGGCAGUUGAGAUAGCUCAGUGAUUAAAGGUGCUUGCUGCUAAGCCUGCUGACCUGGGUUCAAAUCUCAGAACCCACAUGGUUGGAGAAGAGAACUAACUCCUGAAAUUUGUCCUCUGACAUUCACACACACAAACACACACACACACACACCACAUAUACCUUGAUACAUUGGAGAGCAACCGAAGGCACCUGACUGUCUAUCUCUGGCUAUCAUGUGCAUACACAUGUGUAUGCUAUGUACUUUAGUUAAGAUAACUAUUGCUCAGCUGGUCAUGGGGUGCAGGACUUUAAUCCAGCACUCAGGAUGCAGAGGCAGGAGGAUCUCUCUGAGUUUAGGCCAUCGUGGUCUACAAAGCGAGUUCCAGGAUAGGAGUUGCUUCAUGGAGAAACCUGAUCUUGAAAAACAAAAUAAAUAAAAAGUUUGCUAUUGCUGUGAUAAAACACCACGACCAAAAGCAAUUUAAGGAUGAUACGGUUUAUUUGUCUUAUACUGGCAGAACCAUUCAACCUCAAAGUCAGGACACUUGAGCAGGGCAGGAGCCUGGAGGCAAAAACUGAUGCAGAGACCAUGGAGGGAGCUGCUUACUGGUUUGUUUCCCAUGGCUUGCUCAGCCUGCUCUGUUAUAGAACCCAGAGCCACCUGCCUAGAGAUGACCGCACUAUCAACGGCCUGAGCCAUCCCCCAUUAAUCACUAAUAGAGAAAAUGCCUGGUCAGGGGGUGGUGGUGCACACCUUUAUUUCCAGCCAUUGGGAGGCAGA